rnacentral:rRNA from 1 species
CCUACGGGAGGCAGCAGUGAGGAAUAUUGGUCAAUGGACGAGAGCCUGAACCAGCCAAGUAGCGUGAAGGAUGACUGCCCUACGGGUUGUAAACUUCUUUUAUAACGGAAUAAAAUAGGGUACGCAUGCCUUUUUGUAUGUACCAUAUGAAUAAGGAUCGGCUAACUCCGUGCAAGCAGCCGCGGUAAUACGGAGGAUCCGAGCGUUAUCCGGAUUUAUUGGGUUUAAAGGGAGCGUAGAUGGGUUGUUAAGUCAGUUGUGAAAGUUUGCGGCUCAACCGUAAAAUUGCAGUUGAUACUGGCAGUCUUGAGUACAGUAGAGGUAGGCGGAAUUCGUGGUGUAGCGGUGAAAUGCUUAGAUAUCACGAAGAACUCCGAUUGCGAAGGCAGCUCACUAGACUGCAACUGACACUGAUGCUCGAAAGUGUGGGUAUCAAACAGGAUUAGAUACCCGUGUAGUC